UCCAUUUGCUCCUAUAUUUCAGGCUCGACUGGCCUGUGAGGACACUGAGUUUCAGCCAUGAUGGGAAGAUGCUGGCUUCAGCCUCUGAAGAUCACUUCAUUGACAUUGCUGAGGUAGAAACAGGUGAGAAGCUGUGGGAAGUGCAGUGUGAGUCUUCAACGUUCACUGUGGCUUGGCAUCCAAAGCGGCCCCUGUUGGCCUUCGCCUGCGAUGACAAAGAUGGCAAAUAUGAUAGCAGCAGAGAAGCUGGAACCGUGAAGCUCUUUGGUCUUCCCAAUGACUCAUAAAAGAAGCCUCCUGGGGACUGUAUUUGUAACCUGGUAUUCCUAGUCAAGCCCACAUAUGCAUUGCUUCUCUGUUUCCAAUUUUUGAGCAGGAGCAGCACCAUGGUUUGACAUUCCCAUGCCUAGAAAGCUUGCUUUUUGAAGUUUUUUGUAAAAUGCCCAACCAUUCUAAAAGGCACAGAGGCUAACUGGCUGACUAAAUUCUCCAAUUUCUAGGCUGUUAAUUGUUUUUUAUUGCAAAGAGGAAGCUACAGCUGCCAGUGGAUUUGAGUGUCUUGUGUGCUGUGUGUUCAGUUAGGAAACAAUCCCUGCCCUCUAGUUUCUCAGGAUGUAGCAGGCAGUCCCUCUAAAUCCAUGUGACUGUGCCAUUGUCAUGACUUGUGUCUCCCUUAAAAAUGGAAAGACUGGG